GGUAGGGGCGCUUUUAUUGGUCCAAGACCAUUCGCCCGGUCUUCCGGGCGUCUCCUUGAUGAAUCCAAAUAACACAUCAGAUCGCAUGGUCUUAGUACCGGCGACUUAUCUUUCAAAUGCCUGACUUAUCAACUGACGAUGGUAGACUCUGUGUCUACCAUGGCUCCUACGGGUAACGGGGAAUCAGGGUUCGAUUCCGGAGAGGGAGCCUGAGAAACGGCUACCACAUCCAAGGAAGGCAGCAGGCACGCAAAUUACCCACUCCCGGCACGGGGAGGUAGUGACAAAAAAUAACGAUACGGGACUCGAUAUGAGGCCCCGUAAUCGGAAUGAGUACACUUUAAACCCUUAUUCAAAUAUCAAUUGGAGGGAAAGUUCUGGUGCCAGCAGCCGCGGUAAUUCCAGCUCCAAUAGCGUAUAUUAAAGUUGUUGCGGUUAAAAAGCUCGUAGUUGGUUCUGCGUCCCACGCUGUCGGUACACCUUUUGUUGGUGACACUGGCAUGCCGUGGUAUGUCCUGUCGGUGGCGGCUUUUGGUGGUCCCUAGCGCUUCGGAUCAAACCGUCGUGCGAAGGUCUACCUGGUCGCCGGCUACUAUCCUACCGCGGUGCUCUUCAUUGAGUGUCGAGGUAGGCCGACACGUUUACUUUGAACAAAUUUGAGUGCUUAAAGCAGGCAAAAAUCUCUGCCUGAAUAGUGGUGCAUGGAAUAAUGGAACAGGCCCUUGGUUCUAUUUUGUUGGUCUUCGGAACACAAGGAAAUGAUCAAUGUGGACAGGCGGGGGCAUUCGUAUUGCGGCGUUAGAGGUGAAAUUCUUGGAUCGUCGCAAGACGCACUAGAGCGAAAGCAUUUGCCAAGUAUGUCUUAAUUGAUCAAGAACGAAAGUUAGAGGUUCGAAGGCGAUCAGAUACCGCCCUAGUUCUAACCAUAAACGAUGCCAGCCAGCGAUCCGCCGAUGUUCCUCCGAUGACUCGGCGGGGAGCUUUCUUCGGGAAACCAAAGCUUUUGGGUUCCGGGGGAAGUAUGGUUGCAAAGCUGAAACUUAAAGGAAUUGACGGAAGGGCACCACAAGGAGUGGAGCCUGCGGCUUAAUUUGACUCAACACGGGAAACCUCACCAGGUCAAGACAUUGGAAUGAUUGACAGAUUGAUAGCUCUUUCUUGAUUCAGUGGGUAGUGGUGCAUGGCCGUUCUUAGUUGGUGGAUCGAUUUGUCUGGUUAAUUCCGAUAACGAACGAGACUCUAGCCAAUUAACUAGACGUUUCCGGUAUCGAAGCUACCGGCGAUAUAUUAUCUUCUUAGGGGGACAGGCGGCUCUUAGCCGCACGAGAUUGAGCAAUAACAGGUCUGUGAUGCCCUUAGAUGUCCUGGGCCGCACGCGCGCUACACUGAAGGAAUCAGCCUGUUCGUUCCCUUGGCCGAAAGGCCCGGGUAACCCGCUGAACCUCCUUCGUGCUAGGAAUUGGGGCUUGCAAUUGUUCCCCAUGAACGAGGAAUUCCUAGUAAGCGCGAGUCAUAAGCU
rnacentral:rRNA from 1 species